rnacentral:rRNA from 1 species
AUGGUGUUCAUUGACUUGGAGAAGGCCUACGAUAAGAUACCGCGGAAUGUCAUGUGGUGGGCCUUGGAGAAACACAAAGUCCCAGCAAAGUACAUUACCCUCAUCAAGGACAUGUACAAUAAUGUUGUGACAAGUGUUCGAACAAGUGAUGUCGACACCGAUGACUUCCCGAUUAAGAUAGGACUGCAUCAAGGGUCAGCUUUGAGCCCUUAUCUUUUUGCAUUGGUGAUGGAUGAGGUCACAAGGGGUAUACAAGGAGAUAUCCCAUGGUGUAUGCUCUUUGCGGAUGAUGUGGUGCUAGUUGACGAUAGUCAGACGGGGGUAAAUAGGAAGUUAGAGUUAUGGAGACAAACCUUAGAAUCGAAAGGGUUUAGGCUUAAUAAAACUAAAACCGAGUACAUGAUGUGCAGUUUCAGUACUACUAGUUGUGAGGAGGAGGAGGUUAGCCUUGAUGGCCAGGUGGUACCUCGGAAGGACACCUUUCGGUAUUUGGGGUCAAUGUUGCAGGAGGAUGGGGGUAUUGAUGAAGAUGUGAACCAUCGAAUCAAAGCCGGAUGGAUGAAGUGGCGCCAAGCUUCUGGCAUUCUCUGUGACAAGAGAGUGCCACAAAAGCUAAAAGGCAAGUUCUACAGGACGGCGGUUCGACCCGCAAUGUUGUAUGGCGCGGAGUGUUGGCUGACUAAAAGGCGACAUGUUCAACAGUUAGGUGUGGCAGAGAUGCGUAUGUUGAGAUGGAUGUGUGGCCACACGAGGAAGGAUCGAGUCCGGAAUGAUGAUAUAUGA